rnacentral:lncRNA from 1 species
UUACAUAGAAAAAAUAAUUUUAUUCAUUUUAGAAUGUUAUUUUCUAAUUGUAACUUUUAUGCUUUGAGAUUUUUUAAUAAAUAUGUACCUAUACAAAGCAGAAAGACAAAGACAAUUUAGCAUGUAUAUUAAAUUUAAAAUUGUAGAGAAACUUAGCUAGGCAUAAUGGUACACCCUGUAAUCUCAGCAUUCAGGACUUGAAGUAGGAAGACAUAGAAUUCAACAGUAGGCAGAUAAGAUAGGCUAAAAUUAACAAGAUGGAUUCUGACAAGAACUCUUAGCUUUUGGUUUAGUAAGUCCAUUUUGUUAAGUGUUUGAAGGGGAAAGCCAUCGAUAGCUCAUGUUGAAGAUCUGAGGUUUUGUAACCACAAAGUGAAUCAGUGAUGUGGCCAUUAAGUCAAAACAGCUGAGGUGAUAACAGACUGAAAAAAAAAAGUCUCAUCUUGUCACCUCUUGUCUCUAGCUUGCAUUCUAUACAUUAAAAAACAAAGCAUUCUUACGGCAACUGUGCAAGUGGGAGAAAUGUGAGGCUAUUUUAUGGACAAUGGUAGCUAGCAGCUGUAAUAGUGCUUAUUCAAUACUGUUUACAGUUUAAACACGUAGCUGAAGAGUUACAUGCAUAAAGAUUAGGAUUUUGGCUCACUAUAAACAGCUUAUAACUACUAUAAGAUGGGUCAUGCUGUCCUCUAUUACUGUUAAGUCACAACUUAAUGGAGGAAGGCUCAUCAGUGCUGAUUUGAGCUAAUGCAGUGUACGGAAUUAAUCUUUCAGUACUUUUCUAACUUAGUGCUGUGCCAUCAAAACAUCUAUUCGGGUAACGACACAGAUACUUUUAAGUAGCUGUUGUUAUGCUCUCUUAGAAUCUAUAGUUUGGUAGACAGUAGCACCGUAAACCGAAAACCCAAAAAGGCUAGUUUUCAAAUUGGUGGAAAAUUAACAUAUUAACUAUUUCUGGGAAAAUACAGAGAUCCUUUGAAACACAUGUUCCUCUCAUGAAUUAUUCUCAAACCACGUGCUUCUCUCAUUGCACUGUUAACAUACAGGAAGGGCAGAGAUUCACUCUCUCCCUUCCCUACUUCAACUGUGCGUGGCCUCUACACACUUGGAGAGUGGGGAGCUUCCUCAGAAGUUAAGUUUGUGUGAUUCAGCAGUUCUGCUUUGUGGAAUGGUGUGGAUCUAAAACGUUCUUCCAAAAGUCAGUGCUAAAAGCUUGAUUGCCGUGCAAGAUGCUCUCAGGAGAUAGAGCCUACUCCUUAGGGUUGCAUAUCCCGUCUCCAGAUUGGUUCUCCUUAUUUGUUGUUUCUCAGCUGACAGUGAGGUGAGCGUGGUCUUCCUCCAUGUGCUCCCAUCAUGGUUCUCCACCUGAUCACAGUCCUAAAAACAUGAACUUUUUAUCGGAAAUGGUGAGCCAAAGCAACUUUUCAUCCUCUGAAAGUGUUCUUCAUGACAACGAUGAAAAGCUCACUUAGUAUAUAUCUGAAAGAAGCUACAGAUCCAUCAUUCGAACCACUCAGCCUUCCCCAGGUUACUCCGUGUGCAUUUCCAUUUCUCUACCUUUCAAUUCCCUGUCUUGAAGAUCAAGGGUGGAUCUUAAGUUUUUAGCUCUCAAAACCAAGGAAACAAACCAGUUAGGAACGCCGCAGGCUACGAGAGGUCUUUCAGCCUUUCUUUAAGAAGCGCGGCUCUCAAGUCACA